rnacentral:rRNA from 1 species
GGCGGCGUGCUUACACAUGCAGUCGAACGAUGAUCUCCCGCUUGCGGGGGUGAUUAGUGGCGAACGGGUGAGUAAUACGUGAGUAACCUGCCCUUGACUCUGGGAUAAGCCUGGGAAACCGGGUCUAAUACUGGAUACGACCUCCUGUCGCAUGGUGGGGGGUGGAAAGGGUUUGACUGGUUUUGGAUGGGCUCACGGCCUAUCAGCUUGUUGGUGGGGUAAUGGCUCACCAAGGCGACGACGGGUAGCCGGCCUGAGAGGGUGACCGGCCACACUGGGACUGAGACACGGCCCAACUCCUACGGGAGGCACAUUG